AUGUGGUUUAUGAUCGAAGUUUAUUUGCUAUGCGAUAAUGCUCAUUUCAAUUUGGGGGUUUCUGGUUACUUUGUUUUAUCUACUUCAUUUUAUCUUUGCUGCAAAUGGUUAAAGUUUUGGAACCCUAAGUUUAGAGAAAUUUUCAUUUUUUUUGUUGUGGGUGAUUUUAUUGUUGGAUUUGGGAUUAAUUUUCUUCUUGUAUGCAGGUUUUUUAUUUUAAUUUUUUGGACCUUAUAA